rnacentral:rRNA from 1 species
GGGUUGUGAGGUUAAGCGACUAAGCGUACACGGUGGAUGCCCUGGCAGUCAGAGGCGAUGAAGGACGUGCUAAUCUGCGAUAAGCGCCGGUAAGGUGAUAUGAACCGUUAUAACCGGCGAUUUCCGAAUGGGGAAACCCAGUGUGACUCGUCACACUAUCAUUAACUGAAUCCAUAGGUUAAUGAGGCGAACCGGGGGAACUGAAACAUCUAAGUACCCCGAGGAAAAGAAAUCAACCGAGAUUCCCCCAGUAGCGGCGAGCGAACGGGGAGGAGCCCAGAGCCUGAAUCAGCAUGUGUGUUAGUGGAAGCGUCUGGAAAGGCGCGCGAUACAGGGUGACAGCCCCGUACACAAAAGCGCAUAUGCUGUGAGCUCGAUGAGUAGGGCGGGACACGUGGUAUCCUGUCUGAAUAUGGGGGGACCAUCCUCCAAGGCUAAAUACUCCUGACUGACCGAUAGUGAACCAGUACCGUGAGGGAAAGGCGAAAAGAACCCCGGCGAGGGGAGUGAAAAAGAACCUGAAACCGUGUACGUACAAGCAGUGGGAGCCCCACCACUAAGCCAGUGGUGAACUCCACAUACGCAUCCUUUGCUGAGGAUACGGUUAACGGAGCGAAAGCGACGUUCAACCGCAAAAGAAGCAGAGGGGGC